rnacentral:rRNA from 1 species
ACGUACACUCCUGCGGGAGGCAGCAGCGGGGAAUCUUGCGCAAUGGGCGAAAGCCUGACGCAGCCAUGCCGCGUGAAUGAUGAAGGUCUUAGGAUUGUAAAAUUCUUUCACCGGGGACGAUAAUGACGGUACCCGGAGAAGAAGCCCCGGCUAACUUCGUGCCAGCAGCCGCGGUAAUACGAAGGGGGCUAGCGUUGCUCGGAAUUACUGGGCGUAAAGGGAGCGUAGGCGGACAUUUAAGUCAGGGGUGAAAUCCCGGGGCUCAACCUCGGAAUUGCCUUUGAUACUGGGUGUCUUGAGUAUGAGAGAGGUGUGUGGAACUCCGAGUGUAGAGGUGAAAUUCGUAGAUAUUCGGAAGAACACCAGUGGCGAAGGCGACACACUGGCUCAUUACUGACGCUGAGGCUCGAAAGCGUGGGGAGCAAACAGGAUUAGAAACCCGGGUAGUCCCA